GAUGAACGCUGGCGGCGUGCCUAAUACAUGCAAGUCGAGCGAACGGACGAGAAGCUUGCUUCUCUGAUGUUAGCGGCGGACGGGUGAGUAACACGUGGAUAACCUACCUAUAAGACUGGGAUAACUUCGGGAAACCGGAGCUAAUACCGGAUAAUAUUUUGAACCGCAUGGUUCAAAAGUGAAAGACGGCCUUGCUGUCACUUAUAGAUGGAUCCGCGCUGCAUUAGCUAGUUGGUAAGGUAACGGCUUACCAAGGCAACGAUGCAUAGCCGACCUGAGAGAGUGAUCGGCCACACUGGAACUGAGACACGGUCCAGACUCCUACGGGAGGCAGCAGUAGGGAAUCUUCCGCAAUGGGCGAAAGCCUGACGGAGCAACGCCGCGUGAGUGAUGAAGGUCUUCGGAUCGUAAAGCUCUGUUAUUAGGGGAGAACAUAUGUGUAAGUAACUGUGCACAUCUUGACGGUACCUAAUCAGAAAGCCACGGCUAACUACGUG
rnacentral:rRNA from 1 species